rnacentral:rRNA from 1 species
AGAGUUUGAUCCUGGCUCAGGCUGAACGCUGUGCGGCGUGCUUAACACAUGCAAGUCGAACGAAGCGGUUAAAUGGAUUUCUUCGGAAUGAAGCUUGGCUGACUUAGUGGCGGACGGGUGAGUAACGCGUGGGUAACCUGCCUCAUACAGGGGGAUAACAGUUAGAAAUGACUGCUAAUACCGCAUAUGCGCACAGUACCGCAUGGUACAGGGCGGAAAGAUUUAUCGGUAUGAGAUGGACCCGCGUUGGAUUAGCUGGUUGGCAGGGUAACGGCCUACCAAGGCGACGAUCCAUAGCCGGCCUGAGAGGGUGAACGGCCACAUUGGGACUGAGACACGGCCCAAACUCCUACGGGAGGCAGCAGUGGGGAAUAUUGCACAAUGGGGGAAACCCUGAUGCAGCGACGCCGCGUGAAGGAAGAAGUAUCUCGGUAUGUAAACUUCUAUCAGCAGGGAAGAAAAUGACGGUACCUGACUAAGAAGCCCCGGCUAACUACGUGCCAGCAGCCGCGGUAAUACGUAGGGGGCAAGCGUUAUCCGGAUUUACUGGGUGUAAAGGGAGCGUAGACGGCGUAUCAAGUCUGAUGUGAAAGGCAGGGGCUCAACCCCUGGACUGCAUUGGAAACUGGUAUGCUCGAGUGCCGGAGAGGUAAGCGGAAUUCCUAGUGUAGCGGUGAAAUGCGUAGAUAUUAGGAGGAACACCAGUGGCGAAGGCGGCUUACUGGACGGUAACUGACCGUGAGGGUAGAAAACGUGGGGAGCAGACAGGAGUAGAUACCCUGGUAGUCCACGCCGUAGACGAUGACUACUAGGUGUCGGGGUACACAGUGAUUCGGUGCCGCAGCCCACGCAAUAAGUAGUCCACCUGGGGAGUACGUUCCCAAGAAUGAAACUCAAAGGAAUUGACGGGGACCCGCACAAGCGUUGGAGCAUGUGGCUUUAUUCGAAGCCACGCGAAGAACCUUACCAGAUCUUGACAUCCCGAUGCCCGCUCCGUAAUGGGAGCCUUUAUUCGGUACAUCGGUGACAGAUGGUGCAUGGUUGUCGUCAGCUCGUGUCGUGAGAUGUUGGGUCAAGUCCCGCAACGAGCGCAACCCUUAUCGUCAGUAGCCAGCAUUUUGGAUGGGCACUCCGUGGAGACUGCCAGCGGAUAAACCUGGAGGAAGGUGGGGAUGACGUCAAAUCAUCAUGCCCCCUAUGAUCUGGGGUACACACGUGCUACAAUGGCGUAAACAAAGGGAAGCGAUCACGUGAGCGUGAGCAAAUCUCAAAAAUCACGUCUCACUCCGGAUUGUAGUAUGCAACUAGACUACAUGAAGUUGGAAUCGAUAGUAAUCGCGAAUCAGAAUGUCGCGGAGAAUACGUUCACCGGGUCCUUGUACACACCGCCCGUCA